rnacentral:tRNA from 1 species
GGGAAGGUGGCUCAGUGGUAGAGCACUUGCCUGGCAUGCCUGAGGCCCUGGGUUCGAUCCCUCAGCUCCA